rnacentral:rRNA from 1 species
GAGAUUGGGAGAGGGAUGCAGAAUUCCAGGUGUAGCGGUGAAAUGCGUAGAUAUCUGGAGGAAUACCGGUGGCGAAGGCGGCAUCCUGGACCGACAUUGACGCUGAGGAGCGAAAGCUAGGGGAGCAAACGGGAUUAGAUACCCCGGUAGUCCUAGCCCUAAACGAUGAAUGCUUGGUGUGACGGGUAUCGAUCCCUGUCGUGCCGAAGCUAACGCAUUAAGCAUUCCGCCUGGGGAGUACGGUCGCAAGGCUGAAACUCAAAUGAAUUGACGG